GACGAACGCUGGCGGCGUGCUUAACACAUGCAAGUCGAACGGAAAGGCCCUGCUUGUGUGGGGUGCUCGAGUGGCGAACGGGUGAGUAACACGUGAGUAACCUGCCCUUGACUUUGGGAUAACUUCAGGAAACUGGGGCUAAUACCGGAUAGGAGCUCCUGCUGCAUGGUGGGGGUUGGAAAGUUUCGGCGGUUGGGGAUGGACUCGCGGCUUAUCAGCUUGUUGGUGGGGUAGUGGCUUACCAAGGCUUUGACGGGUAGCCGGCCUGAGAGGGUGACCGGCGACAUUGGGCCUGAGGGAGGGACCAGACGCGUACGGGGGGCAGCAGUGGGGAAUAUUGCACAAUGGGCGGAAGCGUGAUGCAGCAACGCCGCGUGCGGGAUGACGGCCUUCGGGUUGUAAACCGCUUUCGCCUGUGACGAAGCGUGAGUGACGGUAAUGGGUAAAGAAGCACCGGCUAACUACGUG
rnacentral:rRNA from 1 species